GACAAAAAAUGUGAUAAGAUGAAGUUCAUCUUGCAGUUCAACUAAAGAACUAAAAUCCUACAUAACUUUUAGUGCUUGUGCUAAAGAACCCCAAAAUAGCUGUGGUGUGAUCAUUCUAUAUGGAUGAAUUGAUUGUAUUACCAACAAUAGCCAUUGAACUACACUCUGGUGUUGCAGCACAACAUGAGAACAAACUGCAAG
rnacentral:lncRNA from 1 species